rfam:Salmo salar isolate Sally breed double haploid chromosome ssa10, whole genome shotgun sequence.
AACCUAAGUGUAUGUAAGUCGCUCUGGAUAAGAGCGUCUGCUAAAUGACGUAAA